rnacentral:rRNA from 1 species
ACUAAAUAGAUACCCAGGUAGUCCACGCCCUAAACGAUGUCUACUAGUUGUCGGGGAUUCAUUUCCUUGGUAAACGCAGCUAAACGCGUGAAGUAGACCGCCUGGGGAGUACGGCCGCAAGGUUAAAACUCAAAGGAAUUGACGGGGACCCGCACAAGCGGUGGAUGAUGUGGAUUAAUUCGAUGCAACGCGAAAACCUUACCUACGCUUGACAUGCCAGGAACUUUCCAGAGAUGGAUUGGUGCCCGAAAGGGAACCUGGACACAGGUGCUGCAUGGCUGUCGUCAGCUCGUGUCGUGAGAUGUUGGGUUAAGUCCCGCAACGAGCGCAACCCUUAUCCUUAGUUGCUACGCAAGGGCACUCUAGGGAGACUGCCGGUGACAAACCGGAGGAAGGUGGGAUGACGUCAAGUCCUCAUGGCCCUUAUGUGUAGGGCUUCACACGUCAUACAAUGGUCGGUACAGAGGGUCGCCAACCCGGCAGGGGGAGCCAAUCCCAGAAAACCGAUCGUAUCCGGAUUGCAGUCUGCAACUCGACUGC